AAUAGAUACCCGGGUAGUCCACGCCGUAAACGAUGAGUGCUAAGUGUUAGAGGGUUUCCGCCCUUUAGUGCUGCAGCUAACGCAUUAAGCACUCCGCCUGGGGGAGUACGGUCGCAAGACUGAAACUCAAAGGAAUUGACGGGGGCCCGCACAAGCGGUGGAGCAUGUGGUUUAAUUCGAAGCAACGCGAAGAACCUUACCAGGUCUUGACAUCCUCUGACAACUCUAGAGAUAGAGCGUUCCCCUUCGGGGGGACAGAGUGACAGGUGGUGCAUGGUUGUCGUCAGCUCGUGUCGUGAGAUGUUGGGUUAAGUCCCGCAACGAGCGCAACCCGUUGAUCUUAGUUGCCAGCAUUUAGUUGGGCACUCUAAGGGUGACUGCCGGUGACAACCGGAGGAAGGUGGGGAUGACGUCAAAGUCAUCAUGCCCCUUUAUGGACCUGGGGCUACACACGUGCUACAAUGGAUGGUACAAAGGGCUGCAAGCCGCGAGGUCAAGCCAAUCCCAUAAAACCNUUCUCAGUUCGGAUUGUAGG
rnacentral:rRNA from 1 species